AUGAAGCCCAGCUUGCUGGGUGGAUUAGUGGCGAACGGGUGAGUAACACGUGAGUAACCUGCCCUUGACUCUGGGAUAAGCGUUGGAAACGACGUCUAAUACCGGAUACGAGCUUCCACCGCAUGGUGAGUUGCUGGAAAGAAUUUUGGUCAAGGAUGGACUCGCGGCCUAUCAGCUUGUUGGUGAGGUAAUGGCUCACCAAGGCGACGACGGGUAGCCGGCCUGAGAGGGUGACCGGCCACACUGGGACUGAGACACGGCCCAGACUCCUACGGGAGGCAGCAGUGGGGAAUAUUGCACAAUGGGCGAAAGCCUGAUGCAGCAACGCCGCGUGAGGGACGACGGCCUUCGGGUUGUAAACCUCUUUUAGCAGGGAAGAAGCGAAAGUGACGGUACCUGCAGAAAAAGCACCGGCUAACUACGUGCCAGCAGCCGCGGUAAUACGUAGGGUGCAAGCGUUGUCCGGAAUUAUUGGGCGUAAAGAGCUCGUAGGCGGUUUGUCGCGUCUGCUGUGAAAUCCCGAGGCUCAACCUCGGGUCUGCAGUGGGUACGGGCAGACUAGAGUGCGGUAGGGGAGAUUGGAAUUCCUGGUGUAGCGGUGGAAUGCGCAGAUAUCAGGAGGAACACCGAUGGCGAAGGCAGAUCUCUGGGCCGUUACUGACGCUGAGGAGCGAAAGGGUGGGGAGCAAACAGGCUUAGAUACCCUGGUAGUCCACCCCGUAAACGUUGGGCGCUAGAUGUGGGGACCAUUCCACGGUUUCCGUGUCGUAGCUAACGCAUUAAGCGCCCCGCCUGGGGAGUACGGCCGCAAGGCUAAAACUCAAAGGAAUUGACGGGGGCCCGCACAAGCGGCGGAGCAUGCGGAUUAAUUCGAUGCAACGCGAAGAACCUUACCAAGGCUUGACAUAUACGAGAACGGGCCAGAAAUGGUCAACUCUUUGGACACUCGUAAACAGGUGGUGCAUGGUUGUCGUCAGCUCGUGUCGUGAGAUGUUGGGUUAAGUCCCGCAACGAGCGCAACCCUCGUUCUAUGUUGCCAGCACGUAAUGGUGGGAACUCAUGGGAUACUGCCGGGGUCAACUCGGAGGAAGGUGGGGACGACGUCAAAUCAUCAUGCCCCUUAUGUCUUGGGCUUCACGCAUGCUACAAUGGCCAGUACAAAGGGCUGCAAUACCGUAAGGUGGAGCGAAUCCCAAAAAGCUGGUCCCAGUUCGGAUUGAGGUCUGCAACUCGACCUCAUGAAGUCGGAGUCGCUAGUAAUCGCAGAUCAGCAACGCUGCGGUGAAUACGUUCCCGGGCCUUGUACACACCGCCCGUCAAGUCCAUGAAAGUCGGUAACACCCGAAGCCAGUGGCCUAAC
rnacentral:rRNA from 1 species